UGGGGAAUCUUGCGCAAUGGGCGAAAGCCUGACGCAGCGACGCCGCGUGGGUGAUGAAGGCCUUCGGGUUGUAAAGCCCUGUGGAGGGGGACGAAUAAGGGCAGCCUAAUACGCUGACUGAUGACGGUACCCUUUUAGCAAGCACCGGCUAACUCUGUGCCAGCAGCCGCGGUAAGACAGAGGGUGCAAACGUUGUUCGGAAUUACUGGGCGUAAAGCGCGUGUAGGCGGCUUGGCAAGUCGGGUGUGAA
rnacentral:rRNA from 1 species